GACCGGGUGAGUAAUACUUAGGAAUCUACCUUAGUAGUGGGGGAUAGCUCGGGGAAACUCGAAUUAAUACCGCAUACGACCUACGGGAGAAAGGGGGCAGUUUACUGCUCUCGCUAUUAGAUGAGCCUAAGUCGGAUUAGCUAGAUGGUGGGGUAAAGGCCUACCAUGCCGACGAUCUGUAGCUGGUCUGAGAGGAUGAUCAGCCACACCGGGACUGAGACACGGCCCGGACUCCUACGGGAGGCAGCAGUGGGGAAUAUUGGACAAUGGGGGAAACCCUGAUCCAGCCAUGCCGCGUGUGUGAAGAAGGCCUUUUGGUUGUAAAGCACUUUAAGCAGUGAAGAAGACUCCUCGGUUAAUACCCGUGGACGAUGACAUUAGCUGCAGAAUAAGCACCGGCUAACUCUGUGCCAGCCGCCCGCGGUAAUAC
rnacentral:rRNA from 1 species